AGAAGAUAGCCAUGUGCAAGUCAAGGAGAGACCUGAAACAGAUCCUUCCCUCAUGGCCGUGAGUGUGGCAAGGUUGCUGGAGGCUGAAAGCUACAGCAGGUGUCUGGGGUCCAGACAGGAGAGCAGCCCAAGACCCAUCUCAGUUUUAUUUGCUGCUUCUGUAACACUGCAGCCCAUGCUUUGGACCUUCAGCGGAGAGCGGUUCCUGUCAUGACCCAGGGCACUCAGCUCCUCUACGCUCUUAGCAGAGUUGUGGUUUUCCACCGGUCUGUGUGGCCUUCUGAAUAUCUGUCUCCCUCCCCAGGCUCUGUGGCAUUGCUCUUUGGUGUGGUUGGCACCUCGGACAUCAUCUUGCUCGAGUAGAUUCUCGAGAACUACUCACCGAAUGAGAGCAUCUCCGUGAAGUGUGGAUUAUCAGACAAAUGCAUGAUGGAAUCAAUGCAAAGGUAAAGCAGGUCCCCGAUGACUGAGGAGAGCCGUCAGGUCAGAUCAUGUGAACUUCACGGAGGCCAAAGGUCUCGCAAGGCCCCGGUGCCUUGAACACCCUCCACACACCCUAUCAUUUGGCUCUUGCCUUUUGCUACCUUGGACCACUUGGAACUUGCGGUAACAACCAGCAGUGGCUUUCCACAGCUGUCCCCUGUCCUCCUGAAUGGCACUGAACUGAGUAUACCAGUGAGAGACUGAGUUCAGUGCACAUUUUAGAAGCAAGGCAAUUGGUUACAGUUUUUGGGCCCAGAGACACAUAGAAGGCUAAGUGAGCACAUCUACCGAGGAAAGUAGGGUCAAGAGUUACCACGGCAAGAACAAAAACUGGGAAUCUGGAAACGUGGUCACUGGUCAUGGGACUUGGGCAAGUUAUUUAAUAAGAAUAAGAGAACAACAACCACAAGAGCUGCUGGAAAUGGACACUUGCUGCGUGCCUGGCCUUGCAUUUGGCCUGUGUUAUUCAGCUUCGCUCUUACAGCAACCCCAUGAGAUAGACACUAUCAAUGCCUCCAUUUUGCAGAGAAACAAAUGAAAAGCAAGAACAAGGCUCAGAGAAACUAAGAGACACUCCCCGGCCCUGCAGCUGAGCAGCAUGGAACAAUUGCUUCUACUUUAAUUUCCGAUGCUUACGAAGGCUGAGCUGAAGGCUGCACCACCAGAAGCUUGACGAAGAAACUGAGGUGCAGAGAGAAAGUACCUUGUCCAAGGUCACAUCUGGGCGUGGAGCAGCUGGCGCGCGCUGAGGAACCAGUGGAGAAUUUCAGCUCCUGUGAAUAUCGGACUUAGCCUAGUAGCUGUGCGACAAAGGAAUCAGGCUUCUUGGAGAAACGGCAGAUCCCAGGGCAGGAGCCGGAAAAGCACGAGAUAAGCCUCGACCACCUCCUUGUGUCAGAAAGUAAGCAGGUGGCCAAGGACAGAUGGAGGGAUGUGACACGGAUGCAAAAGCCGGCCUGAAACGCUGCCCAGCAGCCAAAUCUGGGACAAUCCGACACCGAAAGAGCGUGGAGCUGGGACAACUGGCAAAACCCGACGAAGAUGGAGAGGUGAGAUGGUCGCACUCGGUGAACCAGGCCAGUCACGGAGGACAACCACGGUGGCUGGUUGGAUUUUGCCCAUCGCCUCCACCCCCAGGCCCAUACGUACGACCUGCCGGCCACUCAGAGCUCCUAAGCCUGCCACCAGUCUUCUCUCCAGGAACCUCUCCUGGGGACAGUUAGAGGGGCGGAGCGUGUCCCAGCCAAAGACACAGCUCCGUGGCACUUUGAAACACCACUUUCCUCGGCUUCCGGAAAACCAGCGAAAUCUAUUCACGAUGGGGAAGGGCCAUGCCUUUGCAGUCACCGUUGGAACUCCUAUGGCAAAGGGCACUGCCUGGCAUGCUUGUACGUGCUCAAAAAAAAAAAGAUUUUUUUUUUUUGAAUGAACAAACCGUUAAACCAACAAAAUAAAAAAUAUAUAACAACGAGCCUCAGUGCAAAAGUAAGCUCAGGCAUAACGGCACUGACACACUCCCCAAAUCAUGCAGGUGUGCAAAUGGCCAGAAAUAAAGGCAAAGGCCAUCAGUUUUUAAAUAAAGUAGUCCUGGGUGCGGGAUUAUGUUAUUGUUUUGCAGAACGUUACCAACAGAGAAACCAGGUACGUGUCGAUGUUUAUGCAGGCUCUCUCAGUAUUGUCGCAACUCCGUGUGAACGAAACGAAAUUAUUCCAACAUAAAGAGCUUAAUUUAGGUAAUGUAGUAAGGGCAAACCUGAUCUGUCGAUUUGUGCAUCAUCAACGAACAAAGUGCAUCAGACGUUACUGGAAGUUUGGUCAGGGCAGGGGCGCCUGGGUGACUCAGUCAGUUGAGCGUCCGGCUUUGGAUUUUGGCUCAGGUCAUGAUCUCGCGGUUUGUGGCUCGGAGCCUGCUUGGGAUUCUGUCUCUCCCUUUCUCUCUGCCCCUCCCCUGCCUGCUUGCUCUCUCUUCCCUUCAAAAUAAAUAAAUGAAUUUAAAAAAAGGACAGAAGGCUGCAGGGGCGGAUCAUGUACCUAAAAGGGGAGAGAUGGGAAAGGGGAUUUUUAAUAGCAUCAUGUGGUCGAUGUUGCCUGGGUUUGGCAAGGUCUUACAAGAAGAUGAGGUCAGCCAAAAAACUUUCCAGCUUGUGAACAGACAUUAGAAGCAAGAAGGGGAGUCCAGAUAUUUGAGGAUUUGCAAUGUUAGGUGAGCAAACUGAUUCGGGGCCCUAAAUGGCAAGAAGCAAAUGUCGAGAACGCUUGUGUGACAAAGGCCUCCAGGCAAUGAUCAGAUGAAAAAUGUGCUGCCGAGGCAAACUUUUCAGGUGGACAGAACGGCUCAGGGAAAAAAGCGUGAAGGCUUGGCUUUUGCACGUAAGUCCCAUAGCGUCAAAGUUUCAACCAAGAGAGAGGUAUGGGAGGGAGGGAGCAAAGGAAUAACAACAGAUUUACGAGUGGAGUCUCACAAAAAAGUUGUGAAUGGGGCUUCUGGCCCAUGUCGCUGGUUGGAAUCCGUUAGGUAAAACUCCUACUGCGUUUAUUAAGAUAGCCAUUCUGACCCAAACCCCCACGAUCCCGAGGCUCCAAAAGUCUCAGCUCAGAACCGAAAAUGACCUUGGGGCUCUAGUCUCCUAGGACAGGAUGGGGAUUAAGAAAGCUGGGCAGCCUCUCGAUUCAGAUUCCCCAGUGUGGUGUUUGGGUGUGGCCAGAGGGGGUGAUGGCAACGGCAGAAUCUCACAGAGGGUGGCGCUAGGGGCCGCAGAGAACGGCAGGGCGGAGUGGGACCUACAAGGGACACCUGCCAUGCCGCGUUUAAGUGGCCUUACAGCAGAAUUGCUUCCCCUUUCCGGUUACUUCUCUGUUAAGGAUUAGGUGGGGUAUUAAGCAGAUGACUUUUCUCUUUAGUUAUGAGGUCUAAUGGAGGAGGAGGUGCCUAACCACUCAGGUGGAGACAUCCUGGGCCUUGAGCUGGAUGUGGCUGGCCACUAGAUGAUACUUACGGUCAUCUCCCGUGGAACAGGAUUAGUAUCUCUGCGGGAAGAAGACACCAUAUUCACUGGUCGAGAGGGCACACGGAGGUAGCCUCCUAGGAACCCUCCCCCCCCAUUUGAUUCUCCUCUCCUCCUGGGCACAUGAGUGGUUUGUACCUCUCGGCGCCCCUGCAAUUAGGUAUGGCCACGUGCCUAGCUGCGGCCAGCGGGCUCUGAGUGAAAGGGAAGCGUAUCGCCUGCAGGCCAAAUUACUCAUCCUUCAUGCGAGACCCUCUGUUGUUCUCUUCCUUUCUUGUGCUCUUAAGGAAGAGGUCUAGGGUUAAGUCGAUGGGCUAAAAGCUUGGAGCAGCCAGGAUGCGAAAUUUCACCUUGCCCUUGCCCUGGAGGGUUGCCCGGACCACAGCCAUUUUGUGUAAGUGAGAAAUUUGUUGUGUUAGGCCUAAUGAGCUUUUGCUGUUUCUUUGUUCAGCUACUGCAGCGGCAACAGGAUCUGUCAUCACUAAUGCUGCCCCAGAGCCCAAAUGGUAGAGUCGGGAUUCAAAUGUUGAGCCUUGCACCGCCAGCACAUUAUGGGAGUUCGUAGGAUCGUGGUGGGGACGGCCAUCGUUAAGGCUUCGGCGGGUCUGAGUCUGACAAACUUCUCCCACAUGCCCACAGAAUCACGUCUGUAGAGACUGAAUGCUGCUCCCCCCUACGAGUGCUGGAGAAACUUGGCCACAUUCAGCCAUCCCUGUCAUAUCCAAUCUAUUGCUCCUGUAGAGAGGGGUGGAAAGGAUUUUCUCUCUUCUCUUCCAGCACUUAGCUGAGACCCCUGUAAUAGAUUAACAAGAGAAAAACACGUUUCUUAACAUGUACACCUCAUGUAUCCAUGGGGACACCCAGGGAAGAAUAAGUAAAUCCCCUGAGGUGGCUUAGAAUUCAGAAUUAAAUACCAGCUCAAGUGGGAAAGAAGAGGGAGAGGGGGAAGUAAGCCUCUAAGGGGAGAGUAAAUGAUUUUUGGGAAAGAGAACGGACCUUUAGAACAGAUGGGAGGUGUGACAGUUUGUGAUGAAGUUUGUCAGGGUGUGGGGUUGACUUUUAGCCUCUUCUCUCGUGGUAAGAGUCAGUCCUCCCUGGUGGAUAAAUUCCCGGGAGGGGAUCUGUGUGGCAACUGUUGUUUCUUUUGGGGGUAUCGGUCUUUAGACAGAUAAUGGGAGUUCAGUGACAGCCUCUCCCUGUAUUUGCUGUUUUCCAAGUGCCCCUGCAGCACCAAGCAAUCCAUAUAUCAAAAAGCAGCAAACUUGGGGGUAGCAUGUCCGGCGUGGCAUAUUCUGCUACCCUUUGCUCUCUCGUUUACAAAGUUUUAAGCUUCAUACAUUGAUUAGGCCACACCGACAAGCCCUCUUCUGGCUUCGGCCCUGGAGAAACGGCUACUCAGGGUGAGUCUGAGGGGCUUCCGGGAAUACCGUGUGCUGGUUUUACCCUGAGCCCACAUCUGUGUGCAGUGUUCUGUGACCUUCGCUCGUCCUUGGAUGGUUCAAUCUGGACACCCUGAGGGAGAUGUUAGAGGGGGAACUUCAGGCUCCAUUCCAAGCCAGAGAAGUCUAGAACUGCCCUCAGGUAGCUGAAAACUUAGUCUCCAUGAAAAUCAGUCUAGAAGAUCUGGCCCUCUAGCUGGAGAUGUUUUGAAUCAUCUUACAGGACGAUGAUACUCUAGGGCAAGUAUCUCCAAUAUUCUCAGGGGCCAGCAGCGUGCUGCAAAUGAGAGAACCAGCCAGUGACAUCCGCAUGUCCCACACGCUGUCUCAAGGGGAGAGUUGCUACAGAGUUCUGGCAGAUUGUUAGCCCGUGGGAAUGUAAAUGUGUUGUCAAAUCUUGACAUUUUUCAUUAGGAUCCAGAAAUGGAGCUCUAUCUGGAAACCUCCCCAUUUAAAAAUGUUGGUAAUUAAUUAAAAACAAAACAGUAGACAAUAGUCACAACUCCAUGGCCUAUAGAACAUGGUUAGAGGGCGGUCGGUCGUUCAGCAAACUCUGCCCUGUGAUGGACAUUUGAGCAAGGGGAACAGACUGGCUAGAGCUAUAAGGGUACGUGUUGAGAGGUACCAAGCGGUCAAGUUGACUUGAUUUUGGCCCUGUAUUUGGAAUGAAGGGUGGACCCCAAAGGACUGACAAGUUUGAACUUAGGUAAUAAGGAGGCAGACUAGCAAGGGGGUGGUGAGGAGGGAAACGUGAGCUUUGAAUUCAGAGACUUGGGUUCAAGCCUUGCUCCCCCACUUAGCAGGUGUACGAGUAAGUUGCUUCACCUGAGUCUAGGUUUCCUAUCCCUGAAAUGGAGAAUAAAUCCUAACAGGGUCAUGAGAAUUAAACUACAUUUAGACAUAAGAAAAUGUCUGCCACCUGGUAGGGGCCUAGUUUGUCCACUUCCUUUCAAAGGCUUGAGAGAGAGGAAGAGAUUUGAUAAAAGCAGUGUUUCUGGAAGGAUGGCCACAUGGCUGUGUGGGCACUGGAGACAGAACGACUGGCUAGGUGUCAGGCAGUGUGACCAAUUUGAGAGGACGGGUAAUCACAUCCAUGUGGCCUUGGAGCCAAGCCCAUCCCUGGUGACAAGACCGUAAAAGUUGACCUCCUGGCUCCUCCGCGGGUAAGGUGAUAGGGUGCAGUACAUAAUGCCAAGAAAGCUUGGCUGCGCCACCUGUCCUGUCUGCUUCCCACCCUAUCCUCGGCAUCCUUAGGGCAGCUGAGAGAGGCAGGGCCCGGCCCCAUCAGUGCUGAUCCAGGGCCUCGGGCACAGGCAGGCCUUGACCUCUGCUGGGUCCCACAGGCAACUCUCCUCCAUCUUUCAUAGCCGGGGAGUCUUCUGCAGAGUUCUCAACAGUGUUCUGAGCUGCUUAGCAAACUCAUCUUCAGAAGACACUUGUUUUGAAAGCUUAGGAGGUUUACGUUUCCAAGUCAAAAUGCCCCAAAGCACGGUCCUUGCGAAGAACUAACAGAAUUAAAAAAAAAAAAAAAAUCAAUAGGAGACUCGCCCCUCGGGAGCCGUUAGAAGAGACAGGUUUACCCACUAAUUAUAACUAAACCGUCAUUGCCAGUCAACAUCACCAGCUUUCCAAAAGUUUCUUCAGGUGAAAAUGAUUUUUCCUGUGCAUCAGAAUCACCUGGAGGGCUUGUGGCCCCCCCCCCCCCCCACCCCUCCCCAAGUCUGUGAAUCAGGUCUGGGGUGGGGACUGCAUUUCUAACACUUUCUGGGGUGAUGCUGAGGCUCCCGGUCAGGGACGCUGUGUUCAGCGCCACUUCUGUGACGGAUCUGCUUGUAUGUAUUUAGUUCACAGAGCUGGCGAGUGAUCCAGAGUGCAUGGGAUCCUGUUUCCCUCAUGAGUAAACAGAAGCUAAGGUUAAGUGGCAGAAAUAGGGUCAAACAAUGCCUGCAAAUCUAAAAGCCACAAACUUCACUGCAAGCCAAGAAAUGGAAAAGGUGGAGGCGGUUCAUUUUUAACAGGGAACCAGCUAAAGGCUUUAAAGUUUACUGGAUGGACACUAACCAGUGAUAGAACCACGACUCUCUUAAGUCUUCUUGGAUAUUAUUCAAGGCUUGCAGUACCAAGUGUUUGCCAAGGGCCAGCAGCACGAGCAUCACCUAGAACGUGAGAAACAGGCACAGGCCCCACCCCAGAACUUCUGGGUCAGAAUAUGCGAUCUUUCCAAGAUCCCCGGAUGCUGCUGCUGCUGCAAACGCAGGUUAGAGGAACAUAGACAGAACGUUCUGCCCUCACCUGACGACAGGCCUCAGUAAUGGUCCAGGGGAGGAGAGGGACUGUCUGCCCACGUCUAGUGUUACCUACUAGCUUCAGGGGGUGGGCAGCUCUAAGUUACGUUCACCAAUCUUCCUCCCACCCUCCACCACCAGACUAAUCACGUGUGGGCAUGGGCACAGCAUGCAACAGAGGCCAAAGGUUGUCCGUCACAGGCCUGGAGGCUACCAUUCAGUUGAGGCUUUGGAGUAAGAGUAUCAAAUGAUUUUAUUACAAAACUUAAGCCAUUCAUUGAUCAUUCAACUUUUCUAAAAAACAUAAACAUGAGAAUAAAAUAAACACACCCAAGACUCACCAGCCUUUGCAGGAUAGGAAAAAGCCCUGGACAGAGAGCCUGCAAAUGUUUUUCCUUUUACCCGAUGUCCGUACUUCCUCACACAUUCUAGGGUCCCAUGUUUUGUCACCUCUUAUGAGGAAGGGAAACCGAAGCUACAAGAUUCAUGUACAACAGGGUCACGACAACUUUAGAGCUAUUUGAUGCUAAUGCUUACAUGUUCUAGUUGACAAAUAAGCACUGUCUAACACCUACUCCAUGCUAACCUUUACUGUCAUUCUUUGAAAUUGCAUCUUUGGGACUGGUUAUCUUCAUUCUCUGUAGCUCCAGCCCCUCUAGGAUCCCAAACACAAACCCUAAAAUCCACACGCACUCUCCAAGUUCAAGUAUAAAGGUUUGUUUCAGGACAACCCCAGGCUGACGUAGUGUUUCUUUAUAACUCUGUAGUGUCUUCUGGAUGCCAUCCCCUUCGACAGGCUGACCGGAUGGCAGCACAAUGAGGGGGCACACAAGGUCAACUUUGCUACUGCCUGUUCAAUCUGCAUGCUACCCCACAGUCCAGGCUGAAUGCUGAAAUCAGUGACGACCUCGGCCUGUCUUCGUUCUGAAGGUGUACUCUUAAGUAACCGAAUCCAUUUCUUCACAGUUAAUUUAAUGGAGCUUCCAAAAAGUGUCAGACACACUCUAAAAAGAAAAGAGAAUCGGAUCAAAAUGCCUCUUGAUGAGAGACUACAUUUAUGUUCCUAAAGAAAUUUACAGUUAAACUAGGAAGACUGGAAAUGAAUGUUUCGCAUUCCAUAACGGAAUUGAGGUGUCCUCCCAAUACUGGCACAAAUAGACAACCUCCCCUUCUUGAGUCAGUGCCCUACACGAGCUUCCCGCUCUUGCUUUGUUCACUCACUGAUGCUUUCCUAUCAAAAAUGACAGACAUCUUCAUGAACCCUGAAAAGAGCACACCAAAGUGGAAGGAGGGUAAAGGGCACACCCCAAUGGUAACUAACAACGGCUAAGUGAGGAUCUGCUGUUUACUUGCCAUCACUGCUCAUAUUCACUAAUGGCUCAAAGCCUGUAAAAAGCAUUGUUUUGUGCAUCUACAGCUGACUUUUAAGAUUAAAGUAAAUCCCAAGUGUAAUAAAAAGAGGUAUGCAUAACAGAAGUGUCCCACGGUAACGGAUAGUGGUAAACUCAAAUCUCUAAAUACAAGGAAAUCCAGCAGGGCUAAAAGUGGACUGUGUGCACCAUUUAGGAUGCCAUUUUAGAACACACUGUUCGAUUGUAUAUUCCAAUUGCAAACCCAAGUUUAACUCAUGUCCAGGGCUGAGACUCAUUUACACAUGAUCUUAGCCAAAAGGCCGAGAAGCGAUUAGGAGCGAGGCCCAUUUAAUCAUUUUCAGAAAAACAGGACUUUCAUUUGAAUUUCUCUUGUGCACAACAAUCAUCCCGGUUGGUUUCUACUGAAGUAUCUAUUCACAGCCUACAUGUUUAGCUCUGGUGGCACACAACUUCAUACUCGCUAACACAAGAGGACACUACUAAUUCGUUCUCAGUAACAAACGACUCCUAAACAGCAGCGGAAGUCUAUCUGCACUAAAUGCUUUUCUGAAGGUAUAAAGAAGAUGAUCCCCAAUGGUGGCUUACCCCUUUUCUAUCCAUUUUAUAUAUUUAUAAGCCAGAGAUGAAGGCUCCUGGACAAAGGACAGGAUACCGGACCUUAGGAAGCAUCCUGGGAUGGAGCUGGGGGGUCCUGGCUCUCAGGCUCUGGAGGGGGCGCUGGCACAGCUUCUUUUUUCUUGGCCGCCAGGAACUCAUGAAUUGCUCUUUCUAUCUGUGGUCUGAAGAUGUGGUUUAGUUUGGGAUCCACCACUUGAGAAAUGAUUCUGUCCACUCCAGCUUCCAACAUCCCUGACCUUGCAGAGACAAAGAGAUCAUUCUCUGAAGGUCCACACGCCCUUUCCCCAGCCUCCCCUCGUGUUUGCACCGUGCGUACCUGACCUGUACCUGUAGUAUGAUAUCAAAACUGGGAAAAUGACACGAAGACAAUACGACCUUAUUCAGAUUUCACAGGUGUGGCUGUACCCUGCACAGGUAGCUCUGUGCCAUUUCAGCCACAUGAGUAGCUUCAGGGAGCCACCACAACGAAGCUCUUACCCACACCACCACAGCACCCCCUGUGCCAGCUAGCCCCUGCAAGUCACACUCACCUCCUCCCCGUCCACCCCCAAGCCCUUGGCAACUACUGAUCUCCUGUCCAUCACUGUAAUUGUUCAUUUAUCAGAGUUACAUAUGUGGAAUCGGCACCAUGCAUCUGUUUGUUACUGGCUUUUCUCACUCAGCAUAAUUUCCUGCUGUUUCUAAAGAGGUGGGCUUCAUAAGCUUUUAGAUAUUCCAGGAGAGUUCAGUGGACGAAGACCUGGACACAAGUGUUAGUAUUAACAACAAGAAAAGGGGAGGAGAUUAGAAGAAGCUUAUCUUAGGACACCAGAUUCCAGGACCCACCUCCACUUUUAUGCCCAGUGACACUACGAAGUCACUUGGAUGACCUAGCAGUAGCACUUUAUUAAAUGAAGUUCAGUUUGUUUGAAGGACAUGCUUUAAUAGGACUCUACUCCUUCCUAAAAGCUGCCAUCACACUUUAGAGGAGCCAUGUGGACUCAAAGACUUUGUAGAACUCCCCUUCACUUGGGAGACCAAAGAUCCAGCUCCUCCUGCCCAAGAUCCGAAUGCCGAUCCUUCGUGUAAAACUCCCAUGUAUGUGCCAACUACACUGAAAACCCCGAGCGGCAGCGAAUAUGUUUUGCAACCUGGAAUAUAUUUCGGAGCACCCAGGAAAGUUUACACAGGAGGCCUAUGGAGGUUGGACAAACUAGCAAGAAUGUCAUUUGAGUGCUUUGCUCAUUUGAACUUGAAUAAAAGGGUGGACUGUUGCGA